rnacentral:lncRNA from 1 species
GAAAAUCGGCGGAGAACUUAGCGACGGCAAUUACGCCUCAACCGCUAUUGCAAAAGGAAAUGCAACGAUUUGGGUUGGAAGUGGUAGCGCCGGGAGUGCCGGCUACACUUGCCACACUAGUUGUGCAACCGACCCUAUUUGAGAGAAUCAAAGAGUUACAAGCUUCGGAUCUUUAUCUCCAAAAGGUUCGAGAUGAUGUUGAGAACGGUAAAGCGAGGAUUUUAGCGUUGG